rnacentral:rRNA from 1 species
GAUGAACGCUGGCGGCGGGCUUAACACAUGCAAGUCGAACGGAAAGGCCCUGCUUGUGUGGGGUGCUAGAGGGGCGAACGGGUGAGGAACACGUGAGUAACCCGCCCUUGACGUUGGGAUAACUUUAGGAAACUGGGGCUAAUACCGGAUAGGUGCGCCUGCUGCAGGGGGGGGGUUGGAAAGUUUCGGCGGUUGGGGAUGGACGCGGGGGUUAUCAGCUUGUUGGUGGGGGAGGGGCUUACCAAGGCUUUGACGGGUAGCCGGCCUGAGAGGGUGACCGGCCACAUUGCGACUGAGGUACGGCCCAGACUCCUACGGGAGGCAGCAGUGGGGAAUAUUGCACAAUGGGCGGAAGCCUGAUGCAGCAACGCCGCGUGCGGGAUGACGGCCUUCGGGUUGUAAACCGCUUUCGCCUGUGACGAAGCGUGAGUGACGGUAAUGGGUAAAGAAGCACCGGCUAACUACGUG